CAAGCGUUUAUCGCAGAAGGGGAGCAAAUCAACACACUGUACACAUGUGUUCUGUUAAUUAUGACACACACUGCACAAAAAUUCUAACCGGGCUCAUUAUAAGUUCGAUAAUAAAGAGAUGGAACAACAAGGCUGGAGCCAGUGCUGAGGAUAAGCCGAUACCUGAUCCAUGAGUCACAGGCCAACCAGAAACAGAGCAAUCAGCACGGCUGUGGGGAAAAUCUGUACAUGUCCAGCUUUCAGAACACCUGGAGCAACAUAAUCCAGACCUAGAAUGACGAGGUGAAGGACUUCAGCUAUGGAGUGGGAUCUAUCAAUGGAGGAGUGGUGGGACGCUAAACACAGGUUCUUCUUCAUCUUCUUCUUUGGGCUGCUCCCUUUAGGAGUCGCCACAGUAGAUCCUCUGCCUCCAUCUCAAUUCCAUCCUCUUCUGUCACACCAACCCUUCUUCCUUCUUCACUACACCCAUGAACCUUCUCUGAGGUCUUCCUCUUUUCCUCCUGUCUGGCAGCUCCAGCUUCAAAACCCUUUGUCAAGUAUAUCCUGUAUCCUUCCCCUGCACAUGUCCAAGCCAUCUCAGUCUCGCCUCUCUAGCUUUAUCUCGAAACCACUCAAACAGACAUAUCCCCCUGAUGCAUUGAUUUCUAAUCAUGUCCAUCCUGGUCACUCCCAAUGAAAAUCUUAAGACCUCCUGUCUUUUUGCACAAGCCACCAUCCCUAAACCAUACAUCGUAUCAGGUCUUACUACCAACUUGUAAAAUUUCUCUUUUAGUCUUGCUGCUAUCCUCCACAGGUACUGUUUAAUAUAAAUAUAGAGACAUAUAGUAUAUAUAGUAUAACUCAGGGACCCUUGAGGUAAUGCUACUGGAUAUAUGUAUCCUUCCACAGGUGGUUUGGCACAACUCCAAUCAGAUCGGCUGUGCUAUGGCCUACUGUCCCAACUCCAAAUACAAUUACUUCUAUGUCUGCCAAUACUGCCCACCCUGAGUAUAAAGCAUCCUGUAGUGAUGAUGUUUAUUAAAUAGUUUUUAUUCACUUCAAAUGAAUAUAUCUGGUUGUUGAAGAGUAAUUUGCGGUAAAUGGAUCCAAAUGCUUUGGAGCAUCAUGCAAUACAAAAUGAAUUUAGAAGUAAAAGUAAAAUAUAAUUUCCUUUGUUUUACCCUGAAUGUAUUCAUUUUCUGUUUCGUUAUUAUCUGUGUAUUGUGAAACCUGUUCAGCUACUCUACUGAGUGCUUUCUUAUACACACAAUAAAAUUAUCAUUAGAAGCAAAGUUGAUGGGUGAAACACGAGCAACUUGCAUCUAAUUCAAACAUGGUUUGAAGAAAAUAGUGACAACUUUGGGCUGAUAUCCAGUGUUUGCUGUAAUGUUUAGUAUUUGAUGGUCUGACCUACAAGGUCCCUAGAAGAAGGGACCUUCCUGUGCGGUGACUGCCCCAACGCCUGUGAAAACAAACUAUGCAGUAAGUAACAUCCAAUCAGAAUAUAAUUUGUACAAUUUAUUCAUGAUCACAGAUUAGCUCUACUUUGAGCAGUUGCUAAACAAUGAUAAAAUAAAUAUUCUUAAAUGGUGAGGAAGGUUACAAAAUAUAUGGUUUAUGCUACUGUUUAAUGCUUCUGUAUCAGUCUGAUGAAUACAUUGACUGUCGCGAAGUGAAGCAACAGUGGAGCUACAAUCACCCAACUGUGACUUCGUGGUUUCCCACUUCUUGCGAGUGCACCAAUCAGAUUAUCUAAAUGCCACAUAUCUGCAGACUGGUCAGCUUCAAUAAAGAUAUGCUUAUUAAAAACUUGCAUUUGUGUUGUGUCUCUUAGCUUGGUCACCUAAAAUCGCCACAUACAAAAAAGUCAACUUGUUAUGCUGUUAUAGAGUAAGUGGUCUAUUUGAUGUGUUCAGUAAUUAGCAGAGAUUGAAGAGGAAAUUUACUUUGUCACACACGCAUUUUACAGGACAAACACUGCCGGUGGCGGGCAGAUGCCCUCUAAUCUCAGGAGACGUGUAAACUGGCUGAGAGGAAGAGCAGCAGACCCAACAGGAUGGAUUUGUUAAGAGAUUUUUUCUUUUAAAUCACAAAAAACCCACCAUCAAUAGCAUUUUGUGUUUUACUUAAUUAGUUCCAUGUUGUGGUGCGUUGAAUGUCUGCAUCACUGCAUACCACAGAUCUCAGUCCAAUUAAGCAUCUGUGAGACGUGCUGGACAAAGUAGUCUGAUCUGUGGAGACCCCACCUCAGAGCUAGCAGGACUUAAAUGAUCUGCUCCUAACACCUUGGUGCCAGUUACUACAGCGCACCUUCAGAGAGUCUAUGCUCCCACUUUUCUGCAUCUGAGCCUGAGAGUGCUUCUCAUCAGGGGUCAACCCCACAUGUCCCAGCUACACAGCGGGUUCCUGGUUCACAUAAGGCUGUGUCUGUGUGAGGCAGGCUCAUGCAGUCUACCAAUGAGGAGCACAGAUAGAGCUACAGGCUCGUCUGGUUGGAAUUCAUCCCAACUGGAUCCUUUUUUUCCUUGCCUUGAGUUUCCACUUUUCGCUAAGUGGCGUGUGUUUUCGUUUCAGCCCAUCAAAAUUUCCAUUCCAACUUAAACAUUAGAUUUCCUAUUGCCACACUGUCGCACGGACUGCCAUUGUGUGAAAAUUAGUUCCCUUUCCAUACGAUAACAAACUUGUUUUAUUGAAAAUAAACACUUGGACCACAUCUCUGUAACCUUGAGCGCAUGCCAAAAAAAGCCUCUCUGCUCAUAUCAGUGAACAGUGGAGCUGGAAGGAGUUUCUUCA